GAACUUAAACUCGCAGUCGAAAAAUUGGCCUAUCAGAUGUAUCUGCUUCAUGGACUUUAAACCUGGUAAGAGUUGGAUCUUCUCAAGUCAAUUCAAUUUGCAUCCUAAUUCUUUGGCGCAGAUGGAUUGGGGUCUUCUGCGUAAACUUGCACACGAAGAGCUUCACUGCUCAUGGACUUAAUCGGGGUGAUCACCGCUGGUUGCUGCCACUGUUUCACAUCUGAUGGGAUCCACAU
rnacentral:lncRNA from 1 species